UACAGAGGGGGUGAGCGUUGUUCGGAAUUAUUGGGCGGAAAGCGCGCGUAGGCGGUUACCUAAGUCGGAUGUGAAAGCCCUCGGCUUAACCGAGGAAGUGCACCCGAAACUGGGUAGCUAGAGUACGAAAGAGGGUCGCGGAAUUCCCGGUGUAGAGGUGAAAUUCGUAGAUAUCGGGAGGAACACCGGUGGCGAAGGCGGCGACCUGGGUCGAUACUGACGCUGAGGCGCGAAAGCGUGGGGAGCAAACAGG
rnacentral:rRNA from 1 species